rnacentral:rRNA from 1 species
CCUACGGGUGGCAGCAGUGGGGAAUAUUGCACAAUGGGGGAAACCCUGAUGCAGCGACGCCGCGUGAGUGAAGAAGUAAUUCGUUACGUAAAGCUCUGUCAGCAGGGAAGAAAAUGACGGUACCUGAGUAAGAAGCCCCGGCUAACUACGUGCCAGCAGCCGCGGGAAUACGUAGGGGGCAAGCGUUAUCCGGAUUUACUGGGGGGAAAGGGAGCGUAGACGGUUGGGCAAGUCUGGAGUGAAAUGCCUGAGCUUAACUGCGGAACUGCUUUGGAAACUGGCGAACUAGAGUGCGGGAGGGGUAAGCGGAAGUCCUAGUGUAGCGGUGAAAUGCGUAGAUAUCAGGAGGAACAUCGGUGGCGAAGGCGGCUUACUGGACCGUAACUGACGUUGAGGCGCGAAAGCGUGGGGAGCAAACAGGAUUAGAUACCCGGGUAGUC